UCCAAGGUAACAGAGAUAGAAUGAGAGCUGAUGGCUUCAAGGUGCAUCAGGGGAGGUUUGGGUUGGGUUCAAGGAAACAUUUCUUCUCUGGAAGUGGUGAUGCAGCAGCACAGCUGCUCAGGGAGGUGGUGGGGUCACCGUCCCUGGGGGGUUUAAGAGCUGUGGAAAUGUGGCACUGAGGGGCGUGGUGGGACCAGGCAUUGCACUGUGGUGUUUGCUCACAGCCUGCUGGAGCCCUGUACUCUGCUCUGUGUGAGCAGCAGGGGAUGGAUGCAAUGUGAGUGCAUGAGUCAGGUGCUGGCAGGGCAUCUGCUUGCUGCAAAUCAGUGUUCAUCUCUGUGAUGUGCUCUGCUGGGCCAAAGGGAAGGGGGCAAAGGGAAGGGGCCUGGCUGAUCUGGCUGCCCCCAUGUCCAACUACAGCCCAAUGGAGCAGCCAGAUGGAGAGGGGUUUGACAGCAGGAGGUGGGGGGAGAGAAGCAUGGACAGAAAAGGACCAUGAGAAGGGGACUGAGCCCAUGGCACGGGGAUGUUGGUAGGUGAGCAGUGGGGUGGGGCUGCAGGGCAGGAGGGCAGAGGCUAGCACUGCUGGAUGUGCAUUUGUGGAUGAAUAUUGCUGGCAAUUAUGAUAAUGGCCAGGAUACCCAAACCUGACAUCUUCCUCGUGGAUGAUGAAUAAGCUGUCUGACUCCUGUACAUUUUUUAUUCAAAACCUCAAUGCCAGCUAAUCCAGAGCUCCUGUGCUAAAUGCUAAUGAGGAGAGCACUGCCUGCCGCCCAUACUGAGCAGAGAGGCAACUCCUGGGAUCAAGAGGGUUAAGUAUUGAAAUUGUCUCGUACAUUAAAUAAUUAGUAGACAAACAGAUUGACUUCUUGAGCCAUCACCAGCCCCAUCUGUUUCCUGUGCGCUUGCUCUCCCUUUGCCUGAUGGAUAACUGGGCAGAGCCACACUGUGUUCCUUGCCCCACACAUGGGCACGGUGCAAGGAGAAGUGAGGCUGCCCCAUACCCAGUGGGGAGCAGCCAAACCCCACACGGGCAGUGAUGGAGCAGUGUAGAUGCUAUGUGCCCAUCCCUGCACACUGUGUGCUGCUGCCGGGCCCCUUCCAGCUGGAAAAGAAACAGAGGGCAGAGACCCAGGAGAAAUAAUUCCGCUGCGCUUCAGCCCAGCUCACAACAAAACAGCACGGAGCACAGGCUGCAGGCCGGCCGGGGGGAAUGCUUUGAAAGGCCAUUUGCUGUGCAGAGACGUUUCUGUAAAUGGUCCAGAUGGAGGCUUGAAAGCUUUUAUUCCUUUAUUUCCUUUUCGGUGCUGAUGCUCGAAGGUUUCCUGUAAUUGCUUCCCUGUUUUUACUGCUCUGCGGCUUUCCUGAAAUAUUUUUUGUUUUAAUUACGAUAUUGAUUUAGAUACGGUGCUAAAAAAGACCCCUGAAAAAAGUUAAUGAAAAGCAAUUACCAAGGAGUGCUCUGAUGGGAAGGAGGUGCGUGGGAGCCAGCCUGGUUCUUGUGGCCAUUGGAAUAGGUGGGCCAUGGGAAGGGGCAUGUGGGUUUACAUGUGGGCAGGGCUCUGCCCUCCAUGAGGAAUUGGGAAGGGAUGUUAUGGCCAAACCUCUUGGCAAACCAUGUGCAGGUGCCCAAAUCUUGCUCAGCCUGAGAACUGCGGCGAUGCAAGGCACCCUACUGCCCACCACACAGGAGCUGUGCUCCUUGCUGUGCUCUGCCCUCCCUGCUGGAUGCCACAGGGCGACCUUUUGUUUCUUGCUCUGAGAUCUUUUUGUAACAGGGUUCUCCCGUCAGGCUGUUACCAUGACAGAUCGCUGCUCAGCGGCGUGAGUGUGACGUGGGAUGUGGAAGAAAGGAGGCACUGAGAGGCGCUGAGUGUUAUCUUGUCAAGGUGCAGUUGCCAGCAGCAAUGCCAACUCUUCCCCCAUGGAUACCAGUGCAUCAGCCCAGCAUGGAGUGUUUCAGCUCAGCAGCAUUGUGCGUUUCCCCACACAGUGGCAGGUGAUACCAAAGGUGGUGACCCCAGGCUGGCAGCAGUAAGUGCCACUUUUCCAUGCACAAAAUGCAAUCAGCAUCCAGCUGCUAUUACCAGCACUGCUUGUUAUUGAUGAUGGCAGCUAUCACACCCCAAUGCACUGUGCACAGCAUCUCCCAGCUCUGCCCUGAGCCCACAGCAGGCUCAUUGCCAUCCAGCCACCUCCAUGCACCCCCCAGAGCUGCUUUGGGGUUAGAGCUGUCCUCAUAAGUUGCAAAAACCACUGUGCAGCCUUCUGGGGCACUGAGAUGCACAGGUCCUGUUUAGCACACUGUGUUGAAAGGAAAGUAAUGGAUGUAUCUGGCUUAAUGGUCUAAAAGUCUGUCUUGUGCAGAAAACUCAGCGUCCCCAAAUCCAUUUUCAUUUAUAACAUUAUGAGCGGUUCUACUGGCAGUGGUUUUUUCUUCAUGUAUUUAUUUAUUGGAGGGAGAAAUUCCCCAUCCCAGCAUAAUGCUCUUGCUUGGAUUGUGUGGCUGAAAUGUGGAGUUCUGAAGUUCCAGCCCUGUGCUCAGCGUGCUCCCUGUACCCUGCAGGAUGGGGCACCUCAAUGGGUAAAGGCAGAAAGGCAAAGCAGCUGCCAGAGAGCAGAAAGAGGCAGAGUUCACCAACCAAACCCAGAGCACCUUCAGCACGAGCUGUGCUGAAUAUCCAUGCUGACCCACAGGCUGAGCUGGCACUGAGCAGGGUCCCAGCCCGUGUGCUGGUGGUUGGUGCAGUGCUGCUGGAGGAGUAGGGUAUUUGUCAUCGUGUCGGUGACAAAUGGCUCUGCUGAGUAGAAAAAUGGGUUAUUGAUUUGUAAGCGGAAGUGUGGGUGAGGUGGUGCCUGCUGUGCCCGCUGCUCCCAGCAGCGCUGGGGACGUGAAGGAAGAGAUGCAGCCAGGCUUUGGCACAGUCCUCUGCUCUCCUUCCAGCCCAGCCGGGCUCCAGCAGAGCACUGUCAGUGCUCAGUGCAAUGCAGGCAGCUGCUGCAUGGAACCUGAGCCCCCUGCUCACAGCCGGGGGUGUGGGAACCAGCAUCAGUGAUCAGCCCUAUAUUGGGGGCUGCAGCUCUCAGGGUCUUUCCCUUGGAAAGCAGCCUGGAUGUCUUGUUGUCCUUUUUUUUUUUUCUAUGUUUAGCUGCUGUUGCUUCACCCCAUCACACCUUAAACAACCCGAGUGCAAUUAAUCACCGUUUGCUUCUCUGUGUUUGCAUGGGAUUCCUUAUCCGCAGUAAAUCCUGGGGGGAACAGAUGCAAUUAUGAAAGAAACACCUAUUAAAAAGAACUGUAUUUGCCAUAAAAAAUGUCAGGACAGUUGUCCUUUAGCUGUUUGCAGCGUUGCCAGCUGCAGUAUAUGAUCCUGGUUUCCAGCCAGGCUGUGGGGAGCAGGAUGGGAGAGGAAGGGGCAGCACACAGCUGGAAACCAGAGAAGGGAUCAAUGAUUUGCUGUCAAGCAAAAGGAUGGAUCGAGCAACUUUCUGCAGGAAUCUGCCCUUGGUCUAAUAGGAGUCAGUGUUUUCCCUAACGAUCCGAAUGAUGGAAUAUUCACUGCUACCUCCACAGAGGGCUGAGAUGGGAAUAAGUGCUGCAGUUGCAAGAGAAGGAGACUUCUCAUGGCCUGGCAAGAAGGACAGCUCAUGCUGAGUGCUCUGCUGGGGGCUGGGGGGGCCCCAUUGAGUCACAGAAUUACAAAUGUCGGUAAGAUCUCUAAGAUCAGUGAGUCCAACCACCAGCCCAUCCCACCACGUCCCUCAGUGCCACAUCUACACACUUCUUGAAUGCUGCUGGGGGUGGUGAUUCCUCUGCUGGGCAGCCUGUGCUGGUGCAUAUCCAUUGGAAGGGAUGAAGAAGAGCUUGCAGAAAUCUCUCUGGAGGGAUGGAGCUCACUCAGCAAGGCAGGGCCAACCCCCAGCUUCUUCCAUCCUCAACUUCUGUGAGCCCACCUUGUUCCAAAAGCAGCAUUUCAUCUCCUCUGAUUUCUAGGGAAAGGUACCUUAUAACUUUGGAAGCGAAACCUGGUGCCUUUAUCUCAAACGCUUCAGGAGACAUUAACCCAGCUCUCCCAACACAGGGCAGGAAGGGGGGAGCCUGCAAACACAGCCAGAGCGGGCUCAGGUUUGAGCAGCCUGGCUGCCAUGGAAAAGCAUUGGGCUUCUGAACACAGGGAGUGUGAGCAAUGUUAUUGGUAUGAAAUGAGGAUAAAUAAAUAAAAAAAGUCCAUCCAUUCCUCUGGCAAAGGCAGCUGGGCAUUUGGAGUGGCGGUGUUUGAAAUGCAAAAUGUACCUCAUUGGAGAGUUGUUUGAUGCCAUUCAUCUUCUGAGCGUGCCUGUGCUCCUUGUUUGCGGUGUGCGGCUAUAAACCAUGCUUUGUGAAAGCGCUCCGGCUGGCUCGGAGGUAAGGAAGAGAGAAGGAUGCUAAUAUCAGACGUUUCAAUCCCCACUGCAGCCUACAUUGCUCAAAGCAAGAUGACUUGCAAACAUCUAACACAAAUGAGGAAGAUGAAUCGUAUUCAAGGUCAGGCUCUACGCCAGGAAACUGAUAGAGGCAAAAGCGGUUAAUUGCUUUAGAUUCCAACAGCCCCCAAACGUGCCCUGCGUACAGACAUCCCCGCCUCGCGCUGCCAUGGACCGCACCACCCAAACCGGCAAAUAAAAUAGGAAAUGGAGGUGCUCGUCGUGAUUUUUAAUGUCAAAAUUAGAUUCACUGUUGCCUUAUGGUCUCUGUAAUUACCAGACAUCACUCAUCGUUUUUCUCUGCUCAAGGGAUACUCUGUUAUUGACCUCACUGGGAAGAUAUAAAUACAUUACUGAAUGGAAAUAUCGCCAU